ACUUAACAAAAUAGAGCUCAGUCAUAUUUCUCGUCCUUCACUGUUGAUGUCUAAUCACCAUCUAAAAAGACACAUUAAAGUUCAGCAGAUACGUUUUGGGAGAACAGAAGAACGGUCAAUCAAAACAGAGAAUUUCGAUUUCAAAUUUUGAGGUUAUGUUCUACACUCAUAGAUCUAUAUUUAUCAGAAAGCGGAUCAUCAUUUGGAGUUUUCAUCUAAUAGUUAUGGUUAUUUCUUUGGGGCUGUUCGUUGUAGAUCGGAUCCGCCGACAGUCAAUUUCAUCGGUGUUUUCCCGUCGAUCCAGAAGGAACCAGGAAACGAGCGAGAUAUCAUUGGAAAGCUCUUACUGUCAGAUUUCUAUAUCAUCUUUUAGAUUCUCAAACCAAGAGCCAGUUCCGAUCAGUCUCGGUGUAAGGGAAAAACGGUCAACCUAAACGAAAUAUUUAAAUCUGUAAAUUUGUCAGUGUUGGUACAGUCUGCGUUUGCAACCAGUGUGGAGAUGAAGCUAUUUUGGUUAAUCAAAUGGUGCCCGAUCAGAGUAAACUCGGUGGCUACGGACAAAGGACAUAUAGGAAUACAUUAUGACCGGAGGGAUCAAAACGUUAACGAAAGUUCGAGAAUUGCUAUCUUAGAGGUGUUAAGGUCCAUUCGGCGUUUUCUCAAGUUUUCUUCAGAACCCGUGGCAAAGGUGAGACAGACGAGUAUAUGAUAUUUGGACGGAUUGGUGCUAUUGGACUUUUUAUUCGGAUUUUUAUUUGGGCUUUGGGUGAGUGGAGUUGUGUAUAUGGGCUUUUAUGUUGUGAGAUAUUGUUGGUGGCGUGUUAUUCUCCGGAUAUAAGGUGACGGGUGUCACAAUUUGGUAUCA